UUGCGACUUCAUGGUUGUGCUGACGAGGGUUCGGGAAGACUUCGCGAGGCAGGUGGGCCGGACUGGCGAAUGUGGCGGCGUAGAGUGCAAGGGUAUAUCUUUAGCGACUUCGUCAGGAGAGUAACACAGACGCAGAGUUCUCUUCGAUUCUUGCAGCAGUUAAUACAUUUAAUACCACCAUGCAAUCAACAUCAACAACACUGAACGUGAUUACCACCGCAUUUCAAGGCCAUAAACAUAUUCAGUUGAGUGGCAGAAGGUGAAGGAUGAUGGAUAUAAUACACGCCAGGAUUAUGUUUUAAAUAUCAGAUGUCUUCACCGUAUCGCUAAUAGUGAGAUGAUACAUGCUGGUCGCCAUGGUUACCCAGAUGUCCUCUUCAGCUGGAUUGUUUGCAAAUGAAGGGGAGAGUUUCAUAGACAUAAAGGUGUCUCAUAUAUAUGCAUACUCUGCUUCUGCUUCACUUCUAUAAUCAUAAAAAACAUAUGACAUUUAUUUCCUUCAUAACUAAAACUAUGUCGUUGGAAAUGUUUGUGACAAAGAGUAACACAACCGGGAAAGAAAUCACAGAGUAGGGAUCAAGUAACAAGAUGAGACCUUUCUUCGGACCAGCCUUUGGGACCGUCGCAUUAGCUCGACGUUUCAACGUGCUUGGUUUAUAUGCCUCAGAGCGUCGCAAACGACUUCCACCGGAUGAAUUACCUCUCGGAUGCUGGCCUCCCUCAAGGCGAUUCACUAAGGAAGGUGACCAAAUGGUCUCUAGAGUCGGGGAUCCAACCCCUGCCAUCACAUGCCCUCGCCUUUGGCUCUACUGUCCGCAGUGUGUCAGAGCAUUGUUUUAUUUUAAAAAGUAAAACUAUUUUGUGCUUGCAGCUAACUUUUAAAGAAUAUAAUGUGAAUGUCUGUACACAUCCACAUGACGUAAGAUAACUAAGAGAAUUCCGGAUUAUCUAACUCGGCAAAAAUGUGUACUUUCCCAAGGAAACUUGUCAAAAGAUCAGUUGAGCACGUCAGUCUCAUCAUUAAAUUUUCAUUUUCCUCUCUCUUUUUUGUGAUACAUGCGUGUGAAUGAUUUUCCUAGCAUAGAAAGCUCCUUAUUUUUGGCUUCUUGUGCCUCUUCGGAUAAUCAGUCAACUGAUAACUGAAGUUGAUCCAUUUUGAUAUAUGCUCUGUUUCAGAAUCUGCCAGCAUCACUCUCAAGAUCAGAUGACAAUGUUGAUGAAAUCCAUAAAAUUAGUUAAAGCUUCCGAAUAAAGGAAUGAUGGACCAUUAAUUUCAGACGUAACUGCUGAUUUUUUGGAAGACCUGCGAGUAGUAUCACCAUCAUCAGGUGUGCCAAAUCCAUCUGGUUAUGGGUGAAACCGUCAUCACGAAACCUUUACUGUGUCAAUGACUUUCUCUGGUUAACAGCUUCCUUUUCUUCAGAAGGGCAUGCUUGUCAUUUCUGUUUAUCAAUUUUGUAAGAUAUGUAUAGGCAACCUGGUCAAUGCGUGGAGGGUUUAAUACACGCAUCGAAUUCGUAUCUAAUGCUAGUGCUGUGGCAACUUUAAAAUCAGUCAUGAUCCAACUCAUGUGGUAAAUAAGCAAAUCACGUUUUUUCAGUAGCCCGUAAGUUUGAAAUACCACAAUCUAAGUUUUAAUUUUCUUCAUGUAUUUUUCUUGGUUUAUUUUGAAUCUAACUGGAAAACAAAACUAUGUUUCAAUAUUUUUGAGUGGUUUUCUUUAUAUAUGCCUAGUCCAGAGUGUUCCCCUAAGGUUUACAGUCUAGAGGUAACUUAUCAACUUUCACCAUUUUCAUCAGUGAUUUUUUAAUUCUUCCUCUAUGAUAAAUAACAACCUGGAAGACUGCUUUUACGUCAUGGUCUGAAACUUUCCACUCAAAGCAGGUUUUGUUAAGCACGCUUCUCUCUCGCUUCCCGGGUUCUGUUACAGAGUGGUUAAAGUCAAAAAUAAUUUAUAGCAAUGCCCCCUUUAGAGUGUUAGAAUUGUAAUUAACAAAAAGGUAUUUGUCACAAUGGAUUUUAAAGAUGUUUUGCUAAAAGUCUGUGUCUGGUAGUUUUCAGAAGCUUAGGUGUAUCGUAACACGUUUUUAGUCAUUCUCAUUCAGACUUUUUUUUACAUUAUUUAAACCAAUUAGAUUAUUGCUCUAUAAAAUUAAUCUUAUUCCUUUUUACAGUUGCCCAUUUAGAGUGAAAUGUUAGUAUAUGUUAGGUUUUGUGUACUCAGAAACAUCACUAUCGUGUAUUAUAUAUUGAAAACAUUAUCAUUAAAAACUAUUUUGUAAUUCGGAUCAUUGAAUACUUUCCUUCUUUUCUGACAGAAUUAUCAACUGUUCAGAAAAGUCAAGGUAAUUCUAACACUUAAAUCGAGUUUAUGAAUUUUGUAACAAUCUCGAAAAGUUAGUAGUCGCAAAUUAGGAAUUCCGUCAGAAAUUUACACAAAAUAUUCAUAAGUAAAUUUAUGCAAGCAAAUACGGUAAUUUUCCUUUUAUACAAGUUAUGAAAUAUGAGAA
rnacentral:lncRNA from 1 species